UGUUAUACCGGAGAGAAAUCUUGUCAGGUCUACACGCAAGUGUCGAACGAGAGUUUAAUCGUAUUCUUAAAUACGACGCCUUGUGUGGAAAACUAUCCUUUAUGGAUAGUUUUUUUGUGCAAUA
rnacentral:ncRNA from 1 species